GCCAGGUGCUGUGGCGGGUGCCUAGGAUCCCUGUGACUUGGGAGGCUGAGGCAGGAGGAUUCCUUAGCAAUGCAGUGAGACCCUGUCUCAA
rnacentral:sRNA from 1 species